AGAGUMMMGAKCAUGGCUCAGAACGAACGCUGGCGGCGCGCUUAAAACAUGCAAGUCGAACGAAAAGCCCGGGCUUGCCCGGGUGGAAAGUGGCGAACGGGUGCGUAACACGUGAGCAACCUGCCCCSAARAMYGGGRWUAMCMCCGGGAAACCGGUGCUAAUACCGGAUGCCUUCAUCAUGUCGCAUGGCGAGAUGAAGAAAUGGAUUCCGCUUUGGGAUGGGCUCGCGGCCUAUCAGCUUGUUGGUGGGGUAACGGCCUACCAAGGCAACGACGGGUAGCUGGUCUGAGAGGAUGUCCAGCCACACUGGGACUGAGACACGGCCCAGACUCCUACGGGAGGCAGCAGUUAGGAAUCUUGCGCAAUGGGCGAAAGCCUGACGCAGCGACGCCGCGUGCGGGAUGACGGCCCUCGGGUUGUAAACCGCUUUCAGCAGGGACGAUUGUGACGGUACCUGCAGAAGAAGCCCCGGCCAACUACGUGCCAGCCGCCGCGGUAAUUCA
rnacentral:rRNA from 1 species